rnacentral:other from 2 species
UGCUCCCUGGGAUACAUGUUCUAAUCAGUAAUGUCCCUGUGCCGAUAAUUUUGACUUAAGGGUGAAUGUUUGGCUGACAUUGUGCAAGCUCGGCUCGUAUCGAGAAGCCUUAGGAAGUUAUCGUUUACCCGCCUUGAACCUACGGUUCAAGGGCUAAGCUGAUAACGGUAUCUUGGGGAGCAA